AAAUCCUUUGUCUUAAGGAAAACGCCUGUCAAGAAGCCCCUCUGUGCCGGGGCUGCGCAGGGACCCGGCACGGCCGGCAGGGGGCGCGCGCGCCAUCCCGGAGUCUCGUUGCGCAGGGUUGGGAGCGGGGCGCGGAGGACGCGGGCGGGGCGGGAGUCCCCAAGGACGAGUAAGAAAAGUCGUUUGGAGGAAAAGAGGAAAGAAGAGGAAAAGAAGGAAGGAACAGAAAUACAGUAGAGUGAAAAAAGUCCUUCGAUGAAUGCCCUCUCAGGAAGUACCUGGAGCGGCUCAGUUUUCCCGGCUGUACCGACUUGUGCCAGCUGUCAGCGAUAUUUUCCAGGCCAGCUUUAUAUCAACUCUCCCUCCAGCCACCUGCCAAUAGAUCGUGUUUAUUCUGGAUUUCAUUGUCAUCAGAGACUGAGCUACUCAAGGUGAGGACACUCAAGUUGCAGGUGUCCAUUCCAUUGCAGUGACAUGGAGGACUUCCUUAACAUCGGUCUCCAGUGGUUUGGCCAAAAGGUUUACAAAUCGAAGGCAUCCUCUGAAUAGGAGCUUUUUCUCUUUUGGUUCCCUGCUACAACCCCAACGUUUCAUCAUGAACACUCUACAUACAGUAAUAUUCAAAGAGUUCUACAGUGAGUGGUUGCGUACCCAUGUCAACUGAUGAAGGAAUUUAUUCAAUGGAACUUGAGUCCCAGGAAGCAGUCCAACAGAGGAUUCUGAGGAACUUCUUGAAGUCUACAGAUUUGAGCAUAAUUUAUAUACCUUUUAACAAAGCGGUGUCCGUGCAGGAAAGGGCUCAGGCAUCCAACAGUCAUCUGCUCCAAGGAUAACAUGAACUUUUUGGUUAUACGUCAAACAAGGCCUGUACUGUUGAUGUUAUCUAUGUGUGGAGGGAGGCAAGGACCGGGGUGGUCUCUUUCCCCCUCAAUCUCUAAGAAGUGCAGCUGGGAAAGGCGAGAGUGAGGUACCCAUGAUCUCUUCCUGUUACUGAUUCACCCUCCACUCAUGACGUGAGGCAUUGCAAGGUCAUUCUGGCACAGGCUCAUGAGGCCCACAUGGCUGCUUCACAGUACAGCUUGGAUUUGUAUUGUCCUCACUUUAAGCCUGUGCUAGAUUCGCCUGUUAGACCAGGGAGAAGGGUCCCAGUUGCGUUCACAUCCAGCACCUAGAUUCUGCCACUAACAUUGUAAUGUAUUUUUUGUUACAUAUCUAUCCACCCCUUUCUUUACCCACCAAGUCAACUUUUUUUUUUAAUGUAUUUGAAGUAAAUUGCAGGCAUCUGUACCCUUUCCUGUGUUUACUUCAGCAAUGCAUAUCAUUAACUGGAGCUCAAUAUUAUUUUUAUAAAAUUUUUCUUUUGUUGAAAAAUUUCCAUACAAUAAAACACAUAAAUCUUGAUGUGCAUUUGUUGAGUUUUGAGAAAUGGAUACAUGUCCAGGUGGAGAACAUUGCUUUCAUUCUAGAAAGUUCCAUCAAGCCCUUUCCUGAUCAAUCCCUUACCCAUCCCCACCUUAGAAGCAGCUACUCUUCUGAUUUUUUUCCCACCAAAGAUUAGUUUCGCCUGUUCUGGAACUUACUGUCAAUGGAUCAUAAAGCACAUGCUCUUUUGUGCAAGAUUUCUUUCUCUCAGCAUGAUGCUUUCAAGACUUGUCCAUGCUGUUGUGAGAAUCAAUGGUUAUUUCCAUAGGAUUUGUUAUUAUUCAGGUAUGGUGAGGCCAACAGGUGAAGAGAUGACUGCCAUUGAAGAGACAGUUUGGCAUACUCACAGAUCCCAAGAGGAGGGGCGUGCCACGCCAUAGGGGGCCACAACAUGGGGGCAGUCAGGAGUCAGUCAGGAGGCAAUGGUGGCUAACUGUGCGGAGAGCCUUUGGUGUGGUUUCUGCAGGAAGGAGCAGGACAAAGGGGAGCUGAUGAAGAACCGUUAUAUGAAGAGGAUCCUGGAGGAAUCUUCUCCACAGUCAAGGAGUGAAAUAAGCCCUAAUCCUGAAUAUUGUCAAGAGAACAGAGGGCUGAGGACACUGUGGAAAAGAUUUAGUUGUGGAGGAAGAAAGAGGCAAGGAAAAUAAGAACUCGAACACAACAAUGCUGUCAGUUUAAUCAAGGUUCGUGUGUACCACGGUUAGUCUCAGACAGCCCUGUGUGUGGUCGUGUCCAGAAUUUCUGGAAUGAUUGAGGGUGGGAACAGG
rnacentral:lncRNA from 1 species